GAGCGGCGGACGGGUGAGUAAUGUCUGGUGUAAACUGCCUGAUGGAGAGGGGAUAACUACUGGAAACGGUAUCUCAAUACAGCAUAACGUCGCGAAUGCACCAACACGUAGGGGNGGACCUUCGGGCCUCUUGCCAUCAGAUGUCGCCCAGAUGGGAUUACCUAGUACCGUGGGGUAACUGGUUAACUAGCGACUCAUCCCUAGCUGGUCUUGAGUAGGAUUGACCAGCAAAACUUGAACUGAACACGGGUACCUAGAACUCCUAGCGGGAGAGCACUAGUGGGAGAAUAUUGCAGCAAGUGGUGACUGCGAAGCCUGAUGCGAGCCAUGUCCAGCGUGUAUGUAACAAGGCCUUUCGAGGUUGUGACAUGUCACUUUCAGCGGGGAGUGAAGGUGUUGUAGGUAUAAUUAAUCCUACUAGGGUAUAUUUGACCGCUUACCCCGCAUUGAAAGAAUGCACCCGGGUUUAAACUCCGGUGCGCGAGUAAAGCUCCGCCGGGGGUCAAAUUACAGGGACGGGGGGUGGGCAAAUGACGGUGUAAGUCCUGGCAAAUUUCACUUGGGGCCGGUGAAAAUGCAGCACNGGCAGGUGCGGGUCUU
rnacentral:rRNA from 1 species